rnacentral:rRNA from 1 species
AGUAGCCGCGGUAAUACGAAGGGUGCAAGCGUUACUCGGAAUUACUGGGCGUAAAGCGUGCGUAGGUGGUUGUUUAAGUCUGCUGUGAAAGCCCUGGGCUCAACCUGGGAAUUGCAGUGGAUACUGGGCAACUAGAGUAAGGUAGAGGAUAGUGGAAUUUCCGGUGUAGCAGUGAAAUGCGUAGAGAUCGGAAGGAACAUCUGUGGCGAAGGCAGCCACCUGGGCCUGUACUGACACUGAGACACGAAAGCGUGGGGAUCAAACAGGAUUAGAUACCCGCGUAGUCCCUGUCUCUUAUACA